ensembl:lncRNA
UAUAUCUACAUUUUUGGCAACUUUUUUGAAAUGCAUUGUUUAUUGUACACAGACAGAAAUGACUCUUAAUCUUUCUCCCACUGAAUAUCUUGAUGGCUUACUAACUAAAUGCUAAUGUGGAAAAACUAAGUUAAUGCUUGCUUCUCAUUAUUUGUAGAGUUCUGGAGAAAAUGGAAGUGGAAUAGAUAACAGAAUGGAUAUGGAACCUAAUUUAGAUUCACAACCUGUUCCUACAGGGGAUAAGCCUAAGUUGGGAAAAGAUGACCAGCAGAAAGCUACAGAGGCAAAAACUGAUCCAACCACAUUCUCCAGCACAGGUGAAGAGAAGGGUAGUAUUGGGUCUGGAUAUCCUGGCCCCGAAGGUGACCGUGGGUCUCCAGGACCUACUGGUCCACCUGGACCAGCUGGACCCCAGAGUCCAGUAACAGAAGUGAUAACCGCAGAGGAUAUAAAGGUGGAGAGGGUACAGGGUCUAAUGGGCCCACCAGGUCCAAAGGGCCCACAGGGGGAGCCAGUGAGUAACAUGAACUUCCCUUAGCCUUCCAUUACUGUUCAAAUAAAUAUUUCAAAUAAGAGUCAUAAAUGUUGAGAAACAUAAUUUUGAUGUUUUAUAGGGUGAACCAGGGCAGGACGGCAAACCUGUGAGUUUUCUGGACGGACUUUUCUGGACAGUGUUUGAAUAUUUUCUAAGAUUUUGUGUAAUACUUAUUCAUUCUCAUUUGGUGUUACUGUCCAGGGCCCUGAAGGACCUCGAGGUUUUCAAGGACCACCUGGUACUACAGGACCUAAAGGACAGAAGGUGGUUUGCAAAAUCUGAAUUUUCAAUAAUUAUUGAGUUUUAUUGAUUAUUAAUUAUUUUUAUCGACCCUACUACACAUUAUAUGUUAAACCAGGAGUGGGCAAACUAUUGCAGUCUGUUGUGCUUUGAGAUUUGAAAAAAGAAAAGAACUAAAAAAAAGUGUUUUUGUGAAAAUACAGAUUCAAACAAUAUGGCUGUCAUGUGCAUUGGCAUUGAUAGUCAUUACUUUUAUAGUUAGGUUAAAGUAAUCUUGGAGAUGAAAAAUCAUUGUUGACCAAAACUUUGGCAAGACAUGUUUAAAACAAGAAAACAAAAGACCUUUGAGGGUUUGAAGGCAGAACAUUAUCAGGCACACUGGGAAAAUACAUUUUUUCAACGUCUUUUUAUGGACCAAUAAAUAAAAAUAUAUAUUUUUUUUUUGCAUCUCUAGGGAGAGAAAGGGGAAGGACAUUCAGGCCCUAGAGGCCCACCUGGGCCACCUGGACCUCCUGGACCCUCAAUCUCAGACAGGACUGUGAGUAUGAAUACAUCUAGUACAGGUCUACUGUAUGUGCUUGGAGCUAAAAUGUGCAUACAGUAGAAGGAACUACUGAGAGCCUAUUAUGAAUUAUGGGCACAUUCACACAUUUCACACAAUUCAUUGGAAAGUUUUUGUCGUGUACCUACUCUGCAGGUAACAGUUGUCAGUCAUGUAGCAGAGAGGUACAAAAAUGUUGUUUACCAACAUUUUUGUAGUGACACAAAAAAACAAAGACAUGGUGAACUGGUGAACAAAGUUUUAUUUUUAAAAGUUGUUUUCUUGAUUUUCCUUUGGUUGAAAAUUAUCAGUUGUUACAGUAUGGAAACUACCAUGAAAUCCGUUGAAUGAGCUAAAACAUCUGUGUUUUAUAUUGUAAUGUUCUCCUUUCAGACAUUUAUGGAUAUGGAGGGUUCUGGAUCAUUGCCGGUAUGUUUUAACAAUCAGCUAAUCUAUGCCUAAGACUACCAGCCUAAUUUGAAAACAUUCUUCUUGUUAUUUUUUAUUUAUGUUUUUAUAGUGUAUAUGUACUAUACUAUACUAUAAACCCUUCUUAUAUAAAGCAUCAACAAUUUGGAUGGCAAUAUGUAUCUUUGCAACAAACAAACUUUGCAUUUCCCAAUGCAACUUUGCCCUUUCAAAACCAUUUCACUAUGGUUACCACACCAUGUCAAACAUCAUAUUAUAAAAAUAUAUUAGAAGUAUUUUUUUAAAUAUGUUUAAGAUGAAUUCAUUAGGNUAAUAUGAUUUUUAAAAUGAUAUUAAUAUGAUUUUUUAAAUGAUUUUUAAUAGGCCUGAUAUUAAAAUGAAAUCGAAUUAUUUAUUUUCUUUCUCUCUCUCUUUUAGGGAGACUGUGGUGAUCUUGGCUUACCUGGAGUUGCAGGGGAAAAGGUAAGACAAGUGAUGCUAGCAUGUUUAAUCAAUUAGAUGAGAAGAUAUGCUCACAGAAUACUGAAAUACAACUGAAAGUCAGACAUUUCUGUCUAUGGGGCUUUUUUCAUUGGGAAGUUAAUCUUCACUAUAUUUUUUUUUUUUCUCCCUGUAGCAAAGCUCAGAUUUCUCUUUUUUCUCCAACUGGUUUCCUUCCUGGGAGACUAGUGGGGCACAGGUAUUCUAAAAUCAUGCAUGACUACAAACUAACUGAAUUGGGUUUUGUGUGACACAAGAACUUCACUGAUGAAUAAAAGUGUUAUUUUUAGUUCACUACAGACAACUUUUCAUCAUCUAAAUUUCCCCUACCAGUCAAUGAGGGCUAGUGAAUUGAUCAAAUCAGACUUGUGCUUUCUGUUUGACUCUUCUGCUUAUGUUUUUAGCUCUUGUGCGAGUCUUUCUUGUCAUUUUCAUGCAUUUAUUUUUACAACACUGUGACAAUUGAGGACUGUGCACAUAACCAGCGUUACACUGUUUUCAUGAGUGGUAUUUACUGUAGUUCAUGACAUCUCUCUAAAUAAACUUACGGCAUGGCAAUGGAUAUGGCAAAUUAAUGUAACUGGUCUGAGAUAUUAAUACACUGCUGCUGCAGCUGUUGUUAAUGGAUGCAUUCAAAACACUACUUCAUGAAGCUUCAAAACUUUGCAAUUAGAUUGUUUUGAACAAGUUGUUCGGAGUGCAUUUAAAAUUGGCUAAUUCAUGUGAUUUAAGCAAAUGAGGCUUCAGUAUGCUGUAUUUUGCAGUUUCAAAAUUGUGAUUGUUCGGUACUAUGGGAUGUUUAUGAAGUGAACCCAUAAACCAUGCAGUGUCUAAUAGAUGAUUUUAACUGAUAUUUAAGUUUAUAAUAUAUUAUUGACAAAUUACAGUAAGAGUCCUUAUUACCUUGCACCAUGUUGUAAACAAGGCAUAUUAUCUAUCAAGAACCAGUUUCAUGACUAAACGUAUUAGUUGACUUUAAUUUUGUCUACAAAAGACAGUCAACUUUAGCUUUUUAAAAAAAACAACUUUUGGAAGUUUUAAACCCUUCCUUCCCAUUCCCGUAGGGUCCACAGGGUACAGUAG